rfam:Synechococcus sp. SynAce01, complete genome.
ACAACGGAGAGUUUGAUCCUGGCUCAGGAUGAACGCUGGCGGCGUGCUUAACACAUGCAAGUCGAACGGGCCUUCGGGCUAGUGGCGGACGGGUGAGUAACGCGUGAGAAUCUGCCCUCAGGAGGGGGAUAACAGCUGGAAACGGCUGCUAAUACCCCAUAUGCCGAGAGGUGAAACGAAUUUCGCCUGAGGAUGAGCUCGCGUCUGAUUAGCUUGUUGGUGAGGUAAGGGCUCACCAAGGCAUCGAUCAGUAGCUGGUCUGAGAGGAUGAUCAGCCACACUGGGACUGAGACACGGCCCAGACUCCUACGGGAGGCAGCAGUGGGGAAUUUUCCGCAAUGGGCGCAAGCCUGACGGAGCAACGCCGCGUGAGGGACGAAGGCCUCUGGGCUGUAAACCUCUUUUCUCAAGGAAGAAGACAUGACGGUACUUGAGGAAUAAGCCACGGCUAAUUCCGUGCCAGCAGCCGCGGUAAUACGGGAGUGGCAAGCGUUAUCCGGAAUUAUUGGGCGUAAAGCGUCCGCAGGCGGCCCAGAAAGUCUGUUGUUAAAAAGUGGAGCUCAACUCCAUCCAGGCAAUGGAAACUACUGGGCUAGAGUGUGGUAGGGGCAGAGGGAAUUCCCGGUGUAGCGGUGAAAUGCGUAGAUAUCGGGAAGAACACCAGUGGCGAAGGCGCUCUGCUGGGCCAUAACUGACGCUCAUGGACGAAAGCUAGGGGAGCGAAAGGGAUUAGAUACCCCUGUAGUCCUAGCCGUAAACGAUGAACACUAGGUGUCGGGAGAAUUAUCCCUCUCGGUGUCGUAGCCAACGCGUUAAGUGUUCCGCCUGGGGAGUACGCACGCAAGUGUGAAACUCAAAGGAAUUGACGGGGGCCCGCACAAGCGGUGGAGUAUGUGGUUUAAUUCGAUGCAACGCGAAGAACCUUACCAGGGCUUGACAUCCUGCGAACCCCUGAGAGAUCGGGGGGUGCCUUCGGGAACGCAGUGACAGGUGGUGCAUGGCUGUCGUCAGCUCGUGUCGUGAGAUGUUGGGUUAAGUCCCGCAACGAGCGCAACCCACGUCUUUAGUUGCCAGCAUUUAGUUGGGCACUCUAGAGAGACCGCCGGUGAUAAACCGGAGGAAGGUGUGGAUGACGUCAAGUCAUCAUGCCCCUUACGUCCUGGGCUACACACGUACUACAAUGCUACGGACAAAGGGCAGCAAACUCGCGAGAGCUAGCAAAUCCCAUAAACCGUGGCUCAGUUCAGAUCGUAGGCUGCAACUCGCCUACGUGAAGGAGGAAUCGCUAGUAAUCGCAGGUCAGCAUACUGCGGUGAAUACGUUCCCGGGCCUUGUACACACCGCCCGUCACACCAUGGAAGUUGGCCAUGCCCGAAGUCGUUACUCCAACCCGUAAGGGAGGAGGACGCCGAAGGUGGGGCUGAUGACUGGGGUGAAGUCGUAACAAGGUAGCCGUACCGGAAGGUGCGGCUGGAUCACCUCCUAA